UUUCGAAUCAUUCACAAUGGGCGAAAGCCUGAUGGUGCGACGCCGCGUGAGGGAUGAAGGUCUUCGGAUUGUAAACCUCUGUCACCGGGGAAGAAACGCUUCAAGUUAACAGUUUGAAGCCUGACUUAACCCGGAGAGGAAGCAGUGGCUAACUCUGUGCCAGCAGCCGCGGUAAUACAGAGACUGCAAGCGUUAUUCGGAUUCACUGGGCGUAAAGGGUGCGCAGGCGGCCGGGUGUGUCAGAUGUGAA
rnacentral:rRNA from 1 species